UUCCAGACUCCUACGGGAGGCAGCAGUGGGGAAUAUUGCACAAUGGGGGAAACCCUGAUGCAGCAACGCCGCGUGAGUGAAGAAGUAUUUCGGUAUGUAAAGCUCUAUCAGCAGGGAAGAGAAUGACGGUACCUGACUAAGAAGCCCCGGCUAACUACGUGCCAGCAGCCGCGGUAAUACGUAGGGGGCAAGCGUUAUCCGGAUUUACUGGGUGUAAAGGGAGCGUAGACGGUGCAGCAAGUCUGGAGUGAAAGGCAGGGGCCCAACCCCUGGACUGCUCUGGAAACUGUUGUACUUGAGUGCAGGAGAGGUAAGUGGAAUUCCUAGUGUAGCGGUGAAAUGCGUAGAUAUUAGGAGGAACACCAGUGGCGAAGGCGGCUUACUGGACUGUAACUGACGUUGAGGCUCGAAAGCGUGGGGAGCAAACAGGAUUAGAUACCCCCGUA
rnacentral:rRNA from 1 species